GAUGAACGCUGGCGGUAUGCUUAACACAUGCAAGUCGAACGGUCUUUUAGGAGACAGUGGCGGACGGGUGAGUAACGCGUAAGAAUCUACCCUCAGGUCGGGGACAACCACUGGAAACGGUGGCUAAUACCGGAUGUGCCGAGAGGUGAAAGGCUUCCUGCCUGGGGAAGAGCUUGCGUCUGAUUAGCUAGUUGGUAGUGUAAGGGACUACCAAGGCGACGAUCAGUAGCUGGUCUGAGAGGAUGAUCAGCCACACUGGGACUGAGACACGGCCCAGACUCCUACGGGAGGCAGCAGUGGGGAAUUUUCCGCAAUGGGCGAAAGCCUGACGGAGCAAUACCGCGUGAGGGAGGAAGGCUCUUGGGUUGUAAACCUCUUUUCUCAGGGAAGAACAGAAUGACGGUACCUGAGGAAUAAGCAUCGGCUAACUCCGUGCCAGCAGCCGCGGUAAUACGGAGGAUGCAAGCGUUAUCCGGAAUGAUUGGGCGUAAAGAGUCCGUAGGUGGCAUUGAAAGUCUGCUGUUAAAGAGUCUAGCUCAACUAGAUAAAAGCAGUGGAAACUACAAAGCUAGAGUUUGGUCGGGGCAGAAGGAAUUCCUGGUGUAGCGGUGAAAUGCGUAGAUAUCAGGAAGACACACCGGUGGCGAAGGCGUUCUGCUAGGCCGAGACUGACACUGAGGGACGAAAGCUAGGGGAGCGAAUGGGAUUAGAUACCCCAGUAGUCCUAGCCGUAAACGAUGGAUACUAGGCGUAGCUCGUAUCGACCCGAGCUGUGCCGGAGCUAACGCGUUAAGUAUCCCGCCUGGGGAGUACGCAGGCAACUGUGAAACUCAAAGGAAUUGACGGGGGCCCGCACAAGCGGUGGAGUAUGUGGUUUAAUUCGAUGCAACGCGAAGAACCUUACCAAGGCUUGACAUGUCACGAAUCCUGUAGAAAUAUAGGAGUGCCUUAGGGAGCGUGAACACAGGUGGUGCAUGGCUGUCGUCAGCUCGUGUCGUGAGAUGUUGGGUUAAGUCCCGCAACGAGCGCAACCCUCGUUUUUAGUUGCCAGCAUUAAGAUGGGCACUCUAGAGAGACUGCCGGUGACAAACCGGAGGAAGGUGGGGAUGACGUCAAGUCAGCAUGCCCCUUACGUCUUGGGCUACACACGUACUACAAUGCUACGGACAAAGGGCAGCUACACAGCGAUGUGAUGCGAAUCUCAUAAACCGUAGCUCAGUUCAGAUCGAAGGCUGCAACUCGCCUUCGUGAAGGAGGAAUCGCUAGUAAUUGCAGGUCAGCAUACUGCAGUGAAUUCGUUCCCGGGCCUUGUACACACCGCCCGUCACACCAUGGAAGUUGGUCACGCCCGAAGUCGUUACCCCAACCUAUUGGAGGGGGAUGCCUAAGGUAGGACUGAUGACUGGGGUGAA
rnacentral:rRNA from 2 species